AGGUCUAUGCAUAAUUGAGAGGUUUGUUGGAGAACAUUAGUGACCACACAGUCACUAAUGUCAACAGACAGGUGAGGAAUAAAACUGUGGAAAAGUUUAAGUUAAUCGCCAAAGCAGUCAAGAUGCUCAUGAUAACUUUGGAGGACCUGCAGAGAUUCACAUCUCAGGAGGCAAAAUCUGUUUA